rnacentral:rRNA from 1 species
UACGUAGGGUGCAAGCGUUAAUCGGAAUUACUGGGCGUAAAGCGUGCGCAGGCGGUUCGGAAAGAAAGAUGUGAAAUCCCAGAGCUUAACUUUGGAACUGCAUUUUUAACUACCGAGCUAGAGUGUGUCAGAGGGAGGUGGAAUUCCGCGUGUAGCAGUGAAAUGCGUAGAUAUGCGGAGGAACACCGAUGGCGAAGGCAGCCUCCUGGGAUAACACUGACGCUCAUGCACGAAAGCGUGGGGGAGCAAACAGGAUUAGAUACCCUGGUAGUCCACGCCCUAAACGACGUCAACUAGCUGUUGGGGCCUUCGGGCCUUGGUAGCGCAGCUAACGCGUGAAGUUGACCGCCUGGGGAGUACGGUCGCAAGAUUAAAACUCAA